rnacentral:rRNA from 1 species
GACAGAGGGUGCAAGCGUUUUCCGGAAUUAUUGGGCGUAAAACGUCUGUAGGCGGCUAGUCAAGUCUAACGUUAAAUGGUGGAGCUCAACUCCGCCCCGCGCUGGAUACUGACUGGCUAGAGUGCGUUAGGGGUCAUUGGAAUUCCCGGUGUAGUGGUGAAAUACGUAGAUAUCGGGAGGAACUCCUGUAGCGAAAGCGAAUGACUGGGACGUAACUGACGCUGAGAGACGAAAGCGUGGGGAGCAAAAAGG